rnacentral:rRNA from 1 species
CUGUAAGCCUGCGAAGGUGUGCUGUGAGGCAUGCUGGAGGUAUCAGAAGUGCGAAUGCUGACAUAAGUAACGAUAACGCGGGUGAAAAGCCCGCUCGCCGGAAGACCAAGGGUUCCUGUCCAACGUUAAUCGGGGCAGGGUGAGUCGACCCCUAAGGCGAGGCCGAAAGGCGUAGUCGAUGGGAAACAGGUUAAUAUUCCUGUACUUGGUGUUACUGCGAAGGGGGGACGGAGAAGGCUAUGUUAGCCGGGCGACGGGUGUCCCGGUUUAAGCAUGUAGGCUGGUUAUCCAGGCAAAUCCGGAUAACCAAGGCUGAGGUGUGAUGACGAGGCACUACGGUGCUGAAGUAACA